rnacentral:lncRNA from 1 species
CAGGCAGCUUCUGCUAGUGUUUAGGUACUAGUGCAGUGUAGAACCCUUUUCUCAGGCAAAACCUAACAUCUGACCGCACCCUUUUUGCUAUUAAAAAAAAAAAAAAGCUUCUAUUUUUUUCCUCCUGUCGUUAAGAUAAAUUCUCCAGUAGACAACCUCUCCCACUAAUUGUGUAUUAGCAACGUAUUUUAUCUUGAGAGCUUGUACACUGGGCUCUCAACGUGGUGUGGAAGGUAGCCUGUUACAGUGCUGGAUUCAUAAAAGGGCCUUUAUGGUUUGUGAAAGAAUAUCUGUGUGCUUAGGGAGGAAACUUUUUGAUCUGCAGAAAAGCCAGAAGACAUCUAGGACAUCCAUAAAAAUUCAUCAGAGAGCAUUUUACUACUGAGCUGCAAAGGGAAAAACUUAAAAUGGAUAUGAAAAGUGAAGAAAGUGAUCAUAGGAGAAAACCAUUUCAGCCCUUAGGUGUAUGGCUGCCAUAUUUGGAGGAGCUGACUGAAGAUAUGAUAAGGAGUUUGAAGCAACAUUGGAAGCUGUGUGCAUCCGGGUUGAGGUAGUAGGUUGUAUGGUUUAGAGUUACACCCUGGGAGUUAACUGUACAACCUUCUAGCUUUCCUUGGAGCACACUUGAGCCGUCGAGGAAUUCUUCAUCACUUUAACCUGAUUGAGCCAAUUUGUGUGCAAGAAGGUAAUGUGUCAUGAGUAUCUUGGAUCAUUGAUUUGGGCCUUUAUUACAUUAAAAUGAUCAUUUCAGCCCUAUUAGAUUAUUCCAUUUGUAUCUGCUUAUGAACAAUGUCAAAAUGGUAUUUCUAAUGGGUUGUCACUCCAUGUUCAAACAUUUUAAGAAAAUUGUAGGUAGUGACUUAAAUUGCAUUAAUAUUAAAGCUUUUUAUCAUCUAUAGAUUAACAAAAUUCAGACCUUAAUUUUCAAAUGGAUCAUUGGUCUAUUUAUAUUGGCUGCUUAGACACUAUAAUAAAAAAUGUCUGCUAGAGUUAAUAGCUCCCAUAGCACAUUAUUUGCGUUUUCCUUAUGACACAUCACUUUCUACCUUAUGUUAUGGCUAUUUAUGUGCUUGCUGAUUUUUUCCGCACUAGACUGUAAGCCCCUUGAGGGCAAAGUCCAUGUUUUAUUUUUCACUGUAUCCCCUCCAAUGCCUUACUCAUAAUGAGCACUAACUAUUUAUUGGAUUAGUGAAUGGAGUGUAAGACCUCACUCUGUGAUGAGUUUCUAUUGAAUAUUUGAAUGAGUUAUGGCAGUGGUCAAACAUCUGAGUUUUAUUUAUUGCUCCUAAAACUGUUUAAAUUUAAUUCCUGGACUGCUCCGCAUCAGUAAUACAUGUGUCGAUUUUUGACUGUGUUGAAUGUGUUCAUUCAUUCUAAACAGAUAAGUUAAAAUUUAGAAGUACUUUUUAUCUAGAAUAAAAAUAAUAGAGUAAAUUCAUUUUUACUAAUUAGUUCAUGACAGUUUAUGAUCCUACACUUAGAUAAUUCAUAUUUCUGUUGAAUUUAAAUACCUUUCUUUCCAGAUGAAUCGUUUUUCUUUUAGCAUCAAUUUCAACUAAAUAUUCUAUUUUAAGUCUCAUUUAACAAUAUGAUUUUUAAAAAUUAGAUUUGUGUCUUUUGUGUAUUUCCCUCGUCUCCUGCCCUUUAUUUUUGUACAGCUAUAUCUGUUGAAUAAACCAGAAGCAACUAAACCAGAAACAUGUCAAUAAAUUAAUAAUAAAUAUGUAUAUAAAGUAUAAUUUGAGAAUGUGAACACAUUUUUGUUUAAAGGAAAGGCACUUUAUAAUAUUCUUUGUGUUACAAAGCAAAUGGGACUCUUUGGAACCUUAGUUUGCUGUCAACUUUAGCAGCUGUUAGUGGUGUAAUUUGUGUAGUGAGGCUAUCUUACAUAGAUCAUCUUUCAGACACAGGAUUAAGUAGUUGUUGAUGUUAGAACUUUAAUUUAAGACUCCAAAUAUGAAACAUGGAAUUCAUUAAAGAGACGUUUAGAUGCAAAUAUAUAUUAAGGACCUCAAGAUACUGGCUAUGUGGUGCUGACCUUUCUAGAAUGCUCAGGCAUCCAAAA